AGAGUUUGAUCCUGGCUCAGAAUCAACGCUGGCGGCGCGCUUAACACAUGCAAGUCGAACGAGAAAGUGGAGCAAUCCAUGAGUAAAGUGGCGUACGGGUGAGUAACACGUGGGUAAUCUACCUUUUAGUGGGGAAUAACGAUGGGAAACCGUCGCUAAUACCGCAUAAUCCCGAGAGGGGAAAGCAGCAAUGCGCUGAAAGAGGAGCCCGCGGCCGAUUAGCUAGUUGGUGAGGUAACGGCUCACCAAGGCAAAGAUCGGUAGCCGGCCUGAGAGGGCACACGGCCACACUGGCACUGAAACACGGGCCAGACUCCUACGGGAGGCAGCAGUGGGGAAUCUUGCACAAUGGGGGCAACCCUGAUGCAGCGACGCCGCGUGAGCGAUGAAGCCCUUCGGGGUGUAAAGCUCUUUCGGCAGGGAAGAUUAUGACGGUACCUGCAGAAGCAGCUGCGGCUAACUACGUGCCAGCAGCCGCGGUAAUACGUAGGCAGCGAGCGUUGUUCGGAGUUACUGGGCGUAAAGGGUGUGUAGGCGGUUCUUUAAGUUUGGUGUGAAAUCUCCCGGCUCAACCGGGAGGGUGCGCCGAAUACUGAGGGACUAGAGUGCGGGAGAGGAAAGUGGAAUUCCUGGUGUAGCGGUGAAAUGCGUAGAUAUCAGGAGGAACACCGGUGGUGUAGACGGCUUUCUGGACCGUAACUGACGCUGAGACACGAAAGCGUGGGUAGCAAACAGGAUUAGAUACCCUAGUAGUCC
rnacentral:rRNA from 1 species